rnacentral:rRNA from 1 species
GACAGAGGCCUCGAGCGUUAGGCGGAAUCACUGGGCUUAAAGCGUGUGUAGGCGGACGCCUAAGUGUCUUGUGAAAUCCCACGGCUCACCCGUGGAACUGCUGGGCAUACUGGGCGUCUUUGGGCCAUUCAGGGGCAACUGGAACAAGCGGUGGAGCGGUGAAAUGCGUAGAUAUCGCUUGGAACGCCGACGGUGAAAACAGGUUGCUGGGGAUGGCGCCGACGGCUGAGACACGAAAGCCCAGGGGGAGCAAAACGGGG